GGCGGCCGUAGCUCAGCGGGAGAGCGCCCGGCUGAAGACCGGGCGGUCCCGGGUUCAAAUCCCGGCGGCCGCACC
rnacentral:tRNA from 1 species